CGGCCCCGGGCGCUCCCGCACAACUUCGGGGCCUCUGGAAGGCCCGGGGCGCUUGGGAGGCCGCCCCACCUGCCGGACCCUUCCCGCAGGUGGGCGCGGGCACUGCCUGGCGUGGCGCCGGGGCAAGGACGGAAAAGGGCCCCUGUAAUCGGGGGGAAGGGAAUGUCUUGCGUUUAUAAUCCUUGUUUGAACUUUUGAAAAUGCGAGAACUUUGGGAAACGAAUGCAGCUGGGAGCGGGCCAGCGUUUUUACCUGCGAGGUUGGUUCUGCUUACCUGCCUUGCAGGUUUCUAAGGACUCGGAGGCAAGGGGCUUCCUUUUGUGCACCACGACUUCGCUAAGCAAGUUAAGCUGUGGGAAUUACGCUCCUUUUAAGAUCCCAUGUGGGACAGCGGUGGAGCCGCUUCAAAACUUGAAAUGAAAGACGGUCUCCUCUUGUAGAGCUCUGUGGAGCCGUCUGGAAACCUCUUUUCAUCUUUUCCUGGAGAGAAGCGCCUGGAUUACAUUGAUUUAACUAUUUAAGGCCUCUACUCAGCCUGUGGAUAUGGGCUCCGUGUCUCGGGAGGACAUUUUGUGGACAGAGUUGCCUCUUUUCCUUCUAGUUGAAAGAACCUAAAUUAGUGGUUUUUAAAAAACGCAUUGUUCAGGAUGUGGGUAUGGUACAUCGGUUCAGGUUCUGUUUAAUGACUUCCACACUGUACCCUUUAAUAUGGUAUAUCGUGUACCCGGUGUGUCCAGGUGGAGAACUGACACGUGUGUACCUGAGUACCACACUGUGAAGUCUUCGGAGGUUAUGCACUUUUGGUAAAUAAUAGUCCAUGCUCUCGGAGUAACAAGAAUUUGGAAACAGAUGAAGAUAUAAGAUCACCUUUUUCAAAUUUAGGAUGGGGGUUAGAGAAAGACUUGUACACACUUCACAGUAAAACUCAUUUUUCAAAAGAGAAAACAGAGUUGGGAGCUUAGCCGCCUUGCCCCACAAUGCGGAUGCCCUCUCAGCCACUUUUCUGACCUGGAGAAAUCAGCAGUAAGAUAGGAUGACCUCCAGAUGAGGCAGAAGCCUGACCAGUAUGAGGACUUUAAGAAGACAGGUCCCUGGGAAAAUGGAGCCUGCUGGCAGCCGAGUGGACCACCAUCCUCCCAUCCCUGUGCCAGAGGGUCAUUUGUCCUUUGUCUGGAGGGGAGUUCUCUUCUCCUUGGUGUCUGGAAGGGCUUCUUCCUUGACCCUAAAGGCUUGGUAACUCCCCAUUGGUAAUGCCUUGCUGCUUCUGUUCUCUGCCUACCCCUCAGGAAGCUGGAGAAAGCAGCCUUGUGGCACCUGGGCCAGUCCCCUUGCUUCGCCUAUUUCUCAGCACUCAGAUUUCAUACCACAACUCUGUAGACUUGGUUGUGCCAACACAGUCUUCCAAGUAGUCUCUUUUGCAUUCCUAGCUCUGUCCAGAUGUGUGAGAAUUGCAGAGGGAGGUGUACACUUGCCUCUCCAGGAAGCCUAGAACAUAGAAACCUGUGCUGCAAUUCUGGAAAUCUGGUGGCAUAAGAUUUUUUUUUCCACAUGAAAAAGUCAAUAUUCAGAUCUGCAUUUCCUUCCUUUUUUGUGAGCCUCACAUUCCUGCUAAGUGCAGCACUCAUGGCUUACUAUGUGAAGCUCGUCAGUAUGUUUGGUCAUUAAAAUGGUUCUCGCUGUUCAAA